rnacentral:tRNA from 1 species
AUAUUUAUAAUUUAAAGGUAAGAAUAAACUCAUAAUGGGGGUUAGGUAUAAGUUCGAUUCUUCUUAGAUAUU